rnacentral:rRNA from 1 species
GACGAACGCUGGCGGCGUGCCUAAUACAUGCAAGUCGAGCGAAGUUUUUCUGGUGCUUGCACUAGAAAAACUUAGCGGCGAACGGGUGAGUAACACGUAAAGAACCUGCCUCAUAGACUGGGACAACUAUUGGAAACGAUAGCUAAUACCGGAUAACAGUAUUUCUCGCAUGGGAGAUAUUUAAAAGUUGGUUAUGCUAACACUAUGAGAUGGCUUUGCGGUGCAUUAGCUAGUUGGUGGGGUAAAGGCCUACCAAGGCGACGAUGCAUAGCCGACCUGAGAGGGUGAUCGGCCACACUGGGACUGAGACACGGCCCAGACUCCUACGGGAGGCAGCAGUAGGGAAUCUUCCGCAAUGGGCGAAAGCCUGACGGAGCAACGCCGCGUGAGUGAAGAAGGAUUUCGGUUCGUAAAGCUCUGUUGUUAGGGAAGAAUGGAUAUGUAGUAACUAUACAUAUAAGAGACGGUACCUAACCAGAAGCCCCG